rnacentral:ribozyme from 1 species
UGCCUAGCAAAUCCUAUGCCUACCUCUUCGUGGUACUGGCCGGGGUACGAGCAACUUUAGGGAAGAUCGAGUAACCAAUUCAUCGCGGUGGGAAUUUUGGUCGUAUGCUGACAGGAAAGG